rnacentral:lncRNA from 1 species
AAAUCAUCAUUCCACCUGACCGUUUGAUCUUUUUUUUUCAACAACUUGAAUCUGGAUUCACACGUGGCUGUUAGAUGAGAUGUGAACCGUGAAAUGCAGUUCAAUCUACCUAAGAAACCACGAACCUCCUUUUCUGUUCUCGGUUCAGGCACUUCUUGUAUUACUUUUUCUUUUUUUUUUCUCUUCUUUUUUUUAGCAGGAUCAACCUCGAUUCCUCUUUCGCUUACGAUAAGCCCCAG